rnacentral:rRNA from 1 species
GGUGAGUAACACGUGGACAACCUACCUAUAAGACUGGGAUAACUUCGGGAAACCGGAGCUAAUACCGGAUAAUAUAUUGAACCGCAUGGUUCAAUAGUGAAAGACGGUUUUGCUGUCACUUAUAGAUGGAUCCGCGCCGCAUUAGCUAGUUGGUAAGGUGACGGCUUACCAAGGCAACGAUGCGUAGCCGACCUGAGAGGGUGAUCGGCCACACUGGAACUGAGACACGGUCCAG